GGUUGGAGCCCGCAGUAGCGGGGGAGCCGCUCCUAGGGGCACUCGCAACCACCACGGAGUGAGCAGGGCCAAAAGGGUCAGAUUUCUGCCCACAAAAUUCAUCAUCAGAGUCAUCCACAGACUCAGCGUCAGCCUCCUCACUAGACCCGAUUUCUGAGUCGGAGUCACUCUCUUUUUGUGCUCUAGCACAUUUCCACUGUCGCGCACGUUCUGCCUGGCGCGGAAAGGC